rnacentral:lncRNA from 1 species
AGACAAAUACCCACUAUUGGAGUCGAGCUUUCAUUCAAGCAUGUGAAUACAGCGCGAAAUGUAAUGGCAUAGACAUUAGGGGAAUUCCCGUGUGGGAAAUCCAAAUUUGUGAAUAAGUAUAAACUACAGAUACUGCUCGCCUGUCUGCAGAAGCAGUGAAAGUCCUGGUAUUUGUUGUGUAUGUUAUCAUGUAUUCACCGUCUCCGGGCCUAUGAGCAUUGUCUCAUUGCGUGAAUUGCUAAGAAACAACUUUAAUAUACCUGUAACAUCACGCUCAAGCAUCCGUUGUAGUCUAGCUGGUUAGGAUACUCGGCUCUCACCCGAGAGACCCGGGUUCGAGUCCCGGCAACGGAAUCUUUUUGUUGCCCUGUCUUUUUAAGAAUGUAAACAUUGGUUCCUUUUGUUUUGUACUAUAUAUUUUCGCUCUGUACUUUACACGUUGGUUCCUUUUGUAUGUGAUC